GCGCUCCAGGCACGAAAUUUUCUCAAUGGGGGAAGCCCUGAAGGAGCGACGCCGCGUGGAGGAUGAAGGCCUUCGGGUUGUAAACUCCUGUCAUUUGAGAACAAGUGCCAACAAGUAACUACUGUUGGCUUGAUAGUAUCAGAAGAGGAAGGGACGGCUAACUCUGUGCCAGCAGCCGCGGUAAUACAGAGGUCCCAAGCGUUGUUCGGAUUCAUUGGGCGUAAAGGGUGCGUAGGUGGCGCCGUAAGUCAGGUGUGAAAUUUCGGAGCUUAACUCCGAAACUGCAUUUGAUACUGCGGUGCUUGAGGACUGGAGAGGAGACUGGAAUUUACGGUGUAGCAGUGAAAUGCGUAGAGAUCGUAAGGAAGACCAGUGGCGAAGGCGGGUCUCUGGACAGUUCCUGACACUGAGGCACGAAGGCCAGGGGAGCAAACGGGAUUAGAUACCCCGGUAGU
rnacentral:rRNA from 1 species